rnacentral:rRNA from 1 species
AGAGUUUGAUCCUGGCUCAGAAUGAACGCUGGCGGCAUGCUUAACACAUGCAAGUUGAACGGAAUAGAGCUUGCUCUAUUCAGUGGCAAACGGGUGAGUAAUACACGGGAAUCUACCUUCAGGUGCGGAAUAACCUUUGGAAACUUUGGCUAAUACCGCAUAACAUGAGCAAUCAUCAAAGAUUUAUCGCCUGAAGAGGAGCCCGUGCCAGAUUAGGUAGUUGGUGGGGUAAAGGCCUACCAAGCCUGUGAUCUGUAGCUGGUCUGAGAGGACGAUCAGCCACACUGGGACUUAGACACGGCCCAGACUCCUACGGGAGGCAGCAGUGGGGAAUAUUGGACAAUGGGGGAAACCCUGAUCCAGCAAUGCCGCGUGAGUGAAGAAGGCCCUUGGGUUGUAAAGCUCUUUCACCUGUGACGAUAAUGACGGUAGCAGGACAAGAAGCCCCGGCUAACUCCGUGCCAGCAGCCCGCGGUAAGACGGAGGGGGCUAGCGUUAUUCGGAAUUACUGGGCGUAAAGGGUGCGUAGGCGGCUCCUUAAGCAAAGUGUGAAAGCCCCAGGCUCAACCUGGGAACUGCGCUUUGAACUGAGGGGCUAGAGUGCGAAAGAGGAAAGAGGAAUUCCUAGUGUAGGGGUGAAAUCCAUAGAUAUUAGGAAGAACACCAAAGGCGAAGGCGACUUUCUGGUUCGUAACUGACGCUGAGGCACGAAAGCGUGGGGAGCAAAUAGGAUUAGAUACCCUAGUAGUCCACGCCGUAAACGAUGAAUGCUAGACGUUGGAGGCUUGUCCUUCAGUGUCGCAGCUAACGCGUGAAGCAUUCCGCCUGGGGAGUACGGUCGCAAGAUUAAAACUCAAAGGAAUUGACGGGGGCCUGCACAAGCGGUGGAGCAUGUGGUUUAAUUUGACGCAACGCGCAAAACCUUACCAGCUUUUGACAUAAAGACAGAGGACUCUAGAGAUAGAGUCUGCGGUUCGGCCCGGGGUCUUUUAUCCAAAA